GGAGGAUCUAUUCACAGACUGAGGACCUGAGUUCUCCAUGAAGAUGUGGGAGGCUCCAAAGUCCCGAGUCCACCCUGCACCACUG